rnacentral:rRNA from 1 species
GUCGAAGGAAGUCCUUCGGGUACUUUAGUGGCGAACGGGUGAGUAAUACAUAGGUAACCUACCCUUAAGACGAGGAUAGCCAUUGGAAACGAUGGAUAAAACUGGAUAGGAUAUAGAGGAAGAAUCUUUUAUAUUUAAAAGAGAGAUCUGCUUAAGGAGGGGCCUGUGGCGCAUUAGCUAGUUGGUGGGGUAAGGGCCUACCAAGGCGAUGAUGCGUAGCCGGACUGAGAGGUUGAACGGCCACAAUGGAACUGAGAACGGUCCAUACUCCUACGGGAGGCAGCAGUAGGGAAUUUUCGGCAAUGGGGGGAACCCUGACCGAGCAACGCCGCGUGAACGAAGAAGUUAUUCGUAAUGUAAAGUUCUUUUAUCAGGGAAGAAAGAGGAAUUUGACGGUACCUGAGGAAUAAGCUCCGGCUAACUACGUGCCAGCAGCCGCGGUAAUACGUAGGGAGCGAGCGUUAUCCGGAAUUAUUGGGCGUAAAGGGUGCGUAGAUGGCAUAGUAAGUCUUUUGUAAAAAUGCUGGGCUCAACCCAGUAGGGCAAAAGAUACUGCAAAGCUAGAGUAUGACAGAGGCAAGUGGAACUACAUGUGUAGCGGUAAAAUGCGUAAAUAUAUGUAAGAACACCAGUGGCGAAGGCGGCUUGCUGGGUCGAUACUGACGUUGAGGCACGAAAGCGUGGGGAGCAAACAGGAUUAGAUACCCUGGUAGUCCACGCCGUANACGAUG